rnacentral:rRNA from 1 species
GAUGAACGCUGGCGGCGUGCCUAAUACAUGCAAGUCGAACGAACAGAUGCGGCUCUUGCUCCUCUGACGUUAGCCGCGCACGUGUGAGUAACACGUGUAUCCCCUCCCUAUCAGACUGAUAUCUCUUCGAGAAACCGGAGCUUAUACCGUAUAAUAUAUUGAACCACAUGGUGCAAUAGUAAAAGUCGGUUUUUGUGUCUGUUAUCGCUGGAUCCGCGCCGCAUGAGCUAGUUGGUAAGGUCAAGGCGUACCACGGUAACGAUGCGUAGCCGCCCUGAGAGGGUGAUUGGCCACACUGGAACUGAGACACGGUACAGACUCCCACGGGAGGCAGCAGUAGGGAAUCGGCCGCAAAGGGCGAAAGCCUGACGGAGAAACGCCGAGUGAGUGAUGAAGGUCUUCGGAUCGUAAAACUCUGUUAUUAGGGAAGAACACAUGUGUAAGUAACUAUGCACGUCUUGACGGUACCUAAUCAGAAAGCCACGGCUAACUACGUG